AACGAACGCUGGCGGCAGGCCUAACACAUGCAAGUCGAGCGAGGACUGCGGUUCUAGCGCCGGAUGCGUGAGUAACGGGGGGGAAAGUGCCCUUCUCUAUGGAAGAUCGCUGGGAAACUGGUAGGAAUACCGUAUACGCUCUAGUGUGGAAAGAGUUAGCGGAGAAGGAGGAGCCCGAGUUGGAUUAGGUAGUUGGUGGGGUAAUGUGCUACCACUCCGACGAGCGAUAGCUGGUUUGAGAGGAUGAGCAGCCACACUGGGACUGAGACACGGCCCGGACUACUACGGGAUGCAGGAGUGGGGAAUCUUAGACAAUGGGGGCAAUGCUGAAGGAGCCAUGACGCGUGAGUGAUGAAGGCCUUAGGGAUGUAAAGCUCUUUAAGCUCGGAAGAUAAUGACGUUACCAGCAGAAGAAGCCCCGGCUAACUCCGUG
rnacentral:rRNA from 1 species